rnacentral:rRNA from 1 species
UACGGAGGGGCUGAGCGUUGUUCGGUGAAUUACUGGGCGUAAAGCGCACGUAGGCGGCUUUGUAAGUUAGAGGUGAAAGCCCAGGGCUCAACCCUGGAAUUGCCUUUAAGACUGCAUCGCUUGAACAUCGGAGAGGUAAGUGGAAUUCCGAGUGUAGAGGUGAAAUUCGUAGAUAUUCGGAAGAACACCAGUGGCGAAGGCGACUUACUGGACGAUUGUUGACGCUGAGGUGCGAAAGCGUGGGGAGCAAACAGG